rnacentral:rRNA from 1 species
UGGGGAAUAUUGCACAAUGGGGGAAACCCUGAUGCAGCGACGCCGCGUGAACGAAGAAGGUAUUCGUAUCGUAAAGUUCUGUCCUAUGGGAAGAUAAUGACGGUACCAUAGAAGAAAGCUCCGGCUAAAUACGUGCCAGCAGCCGCGGUAAUACGUAUGGAGCGAGCGUUGUCCGGAAUUAUUGGGCAUAAAGGGUACGCAGGCGGUUUAAUAAGUCGAAUGUUAAAGAUCGGGGCUCAACCCCGCAAAGCAUUGGAAACUGAUAAACUUGAGUAGUGGAGAGGAAAGUGGAAUUCCUAGUGUAGUGGUGAAAUACGUAGAUAUUAGGAGGAAUACCAGUAGCGAAGGCGACUUUCUGGACACAAACUGACGCUGAGGUACGAAAGCGUGGGGAGCAAACAGG